rnacentral:rRNA from 1 species
CUGCGAUAAGCGCCGGUAAGGUGAUAUGAACCGUUAUAACCGGCGAUACCCGAAUGGGGAAACCCAGUGUGAUUCGUCACACUAUCAUUAACUGAAUCCAUAGGUUAAUGAGGCGAACCGGGGGAACUGAAACAUCUAAGUACCCCGAGGAAAAGAAAUCAACCGAGAUUCCCCCAGUAGCGGCGAGCGAACGGGGAGGAGCCCAGAGCCUGAAUCAGCAUGUGUGUUAGUGGAAGCGUCUGGAAAGGCGCGCGAUACAGGGUGACAGCCCCGUACACAAAAGCGCAUGUGCUGUGAGCUCGAUGAGUAGGGCGGGACACGUGGUAUCCUGUCUGAAUAUGGGGGGACCAUCCUCCAAGGCUAAAUACUCCUGACUGACCGAUAGUGAACCAGUACCGUGAGGGAAAGGCGAAAAGAACCCCGGCGAGGGGAGUGAAAAAGAACCUGAAACCGUGUACGUACAAGCAGUGGGAGCACCCUUCGGGGUGUGACUGCGUACCUUUUGUAUAAUGGGUCAGCGACUUAUAUUCUGUAGCAAGGUUAACCGUAUAGGGGAGCCGGAGGGAAACCGAGUCUUAAUUGGGCGUUAAGUUGCAGGGUAUAGACCCGAAACCCGGUGAUCUAGCCAUGGGCAGGUUGAAGGUUGGGUAACACUAACUGGAGGACCGAACCGACUAAUGUUGAAAAAUUAGCGGAUGACCUGUGGCUGGGGGUGAAAGGCCAAUCAAACCGGGAGAUAGCUGGUUCUCCCCGAAAGCUAUUUAGGUAGCGCCUCGUGAAUUCAUCUCCGGGGGUAGAGCACUGUUUCGGCUAGGGGGCCAUCCCGGCUUACCAACCCGAUGCAAACUGCGAAUACCGGAGAAUGUUAUCACGGGAGACACACGGCGGGUGCUAACGUCCGUCGUGAAGAGGGAAACAACCCAGACCGCCAGCUAAGGUCCCAAAGUCAUGGUUAAGUGGGAAACGAUGUGGGAAGGCCCAGACAGCCAGGAUGUUGGCUUAGAAGCAGCCAUCAUUUAAAGAAAGCGUAAUAGCUCACUGGUCGAGUCGGCCUGCGCGGAAGAUGUAACGGGGCUAAACCAUGCACCGAAGCUGCGGCAGCGAACGUAUCACCCAAGACAACUUUACGGAGUUGACGAUUGACGGAGCGAAGCGACGUCAAAGCGUUCAUUAAAGUCGAGUUGGCUUAGGGAUACGUUCGUUGGGUAGGGGAGCGUUCUGUAAGCCUGUGAAGGUGUGUCGUGAGGCAUGCUGGAGGUAUCAGAAGUGCGAAUGCUGACAUAAGUAACGAUAAAGCGGGUGAAAAGCCCGCUCGCCGGAAGACCAAGGGUUCCUGUCCAACGUUAAUCGGGGCAGGGUGAGUCGACCCCUAAGGCGAGGCCGAAAGGCGUAGUCGAUGGGAAACGGGUUAAUAUUCCCGUACUUGGUGUUACUGCGAAGGGGGGACGGAGAAGGCUAUGUUGGCCGGGCGACGGUUGUCCCGGUUUAAGCGUGUAGGUGUGUGUUCCAGGUAAAUCCGGUUCACUUUAACACUGAGGCGUGACGACGAGGCACUACGGUGCUGAAGCAACAAAUGCCCUGCUUCCAGGAAAAGCCUCUAAGCAU